GAUGAAGAACGUAGCGAAAUGCGAUAAGUAAUGUGAAUUGCAGAAUUCAGUGAAUCAUCGAAUCUUUGAACGCACCUUGCGCUCCUUGGUAUUCCGAGGAGCAUGUCUGUUUGAGUGUCAUUAAAUUCUCAAUCUCUAAAUUCUUUGUGUACUUUAGAGAAUUGGAUGUGGGGGUUUGUGAGUCUUUGAUAGACUCACUCCUCUGAAAUUUAUUAGCUGGAAUGCCUUCGCAAACCAACUAUCAGUGUGAUAAUUAUCAGUACUGGAGUUGAACGCAUAAGGGAAUCUGCUUCUUUAACUGUCGCAAGACAAUUCGAAUAUAUUUGACCUCAAAUCAGAUAGGACUACCCGCUGAACUUAAGCAUAUCAAUAAGCGGAGGA
rnacentral:misc_RNA from 1 species